UUAAGCGACUAAGCGUACACGGUGGAUGCCUAGGCAGUCAGAGGCGAUGAAGGGCGUGCUAAUCUGCGAAAAGCGUCGGUAAGCUGAUAUGAAGCGUUAUAACCGACGAUACCCGAAUGGGGAAACCCAGUGCAAUACGUUGCACUAUCGUUAGAUGAAUACAUAGUCUAACGAGGCGAACCGGGGGAACUGAAACAUCUAAGUACCCCGAGGAAAAGAAAUCAACCGAGAUUCCCCCAGUAGCGGCGAGCGAACGGGGAGGAGCCCAGAGUCUGAAUCAGUUUGUGUGUUAGUGGAAGCGUCUGGAAAGUCGCACGGUACAGGGUGAUAGUCCCGUACACCAAAAUGCACAGGCUGUGAACUCGAUGAGUAGGGCGGGACACGUGACAUCCUGUCUGAAUAUGGGGGGACCAUCCUCCAAGGCUAAAUACUCCUGACUGACCGAUAGUGAACCAGUACCGUGAGGGAAAGGCGAAAAGAACCCCGGCGAGGGGAGUGAAAUAGAACCUGAAACCGUGUACGUACAAGCAGUGGGAGCACCUUCGUGGUGUGACUGCGUACCUUUUGUAUAAUGGGUCAGCGACUUAUAUUUUGUAGCAAGGUUAACCGAAUAGGGGAGCCGUAGGGAAACCGAGUCUUAACUGGGCGUCUAGUUGCAAGGUAUAGACCCGAAACCCGGUGAUCUAGCCAUGGGCAGGUUGAAGGUUGGGUAACACUAACUGGAGGACCGAACCGACUAAUGUUGAAAAAUUAGCGGAUGACUUGUGGCUGGGGGUGAAAGGCCAAUCAAACCGGGAGAUAGCUGGUUCUCCCCGAAAGCUAUUUAGGUAGCGCCUCGUGAACUCAUCUUCGGGGGUAGAGCACUGUUUCGGCUAGGGGGCCAUCCCGGCUUACCAAACCGAUGCAAACUCCGAAUACCGAAGAAUGUUAUCACGGGAGACACACGGCGGGUGCUAACGUCCGUCGUGAAGAGGGAAACAACCCAGACCGCCAGCUAAGGUCCCAAAGUCAUGGUUAAGUGGGAAACGAUGUGGGAAGGCACAGACAGCCAGGAUGUUGGCUUAGAAGCAGCCAUCAUUUAAAGAAAGCGUAAUAGCUCACUGGUCGAGUCGGCCUGCGCGGAAGAUGUAACGGGGCUAAACCAUGCACCGAAGCUGCGGCAGCGACACUUAGGUGUUGUUGGGUAGGGGAGCGUUCUGUAAGCCGUUGAAGGUGACCUGUGAGGGUUGCUGGAGGUAUCAGAAGUGCGAAUGCUGACAUAAGUAACGAUAAUGCGGGUGAAAAACCCGCACGCCGGAAGACCAAGGGUUCCUGUCCAACGUUAAUCGGGGCAGGGUGAGUCGACCCCUAAGGCGAGGCUGAAAAGCGUAGUCGAUGGGAAACAGGUUAAUAUUCCUGUACUUGGUGUUACUGCGAAGGGGGGACGGAGAAGGCUAGGCUGGCCGGGCGACGGUUGUCCCGGUUUAAGCGUGUAGGGGGAGUGACCAGGUAAAUCCGGUUGCUUAUCAACCCUGAGGCGUGAUGACGAUGCACUACGGUGCAGAAGCAGUUGAUGCCAUGCUUCCAGGAAAAGCCUCUAAGCAUCAGGUAACAUUAAAUCGUACCCCAAACCGACACAGGUGGUCAGGUAGAGAAUACUCAGGCGCUUGAGAGAACUCGGGUGAAGGAACUAGGCAAAAUGGUGCCGUAACUUCGGGAGAAGGCACGCUGGCGUUAGGUGAAAGGACUAGCUCCUGGAGCUGAAGCCAGUCGCAGAUACCAGCUGGCUGCAACUGUUUAAUAAAAACACAGCACUGUGCAAACACGAAAGUGGACGUAUACGGUGUGACGCCUGCCCGGUGCUGGAAGGUUAAUUGAUGGGGUCAGCCGCAAGGCGAAGCUCUUGAUCGAAGCCCCAGUAAACGGCGGCCGUAACUAUAACGGUCCUAAGGUAGCGAAAUUCCUUGUCGGGUAAGUUCCGACCUGCACGAAUGGCGUAAUGAUGGCCAGGCUGUCUCCACCCGAGACUCAGUGAAAUUGAACUCGCUGUGAAGAUGCAGUGUACCCGCGGCAAGACGGAAAGACCCCGUGAACCUUUACUAUAGCUUGACACUGAACAUUGAGCCUUGAUGUGUAGGAUAGGUGGGAGGCCUUGAAGUGUGGACGCCAGUCUGCAUGGAGCCAACCUUGAAAUACCACCCUUUAAUGUUUGAUGUUCUAACUCGGCCCCAUNAUCUGGGGUGAGGACAGUGUCUGGUGGGUAGUUUGACUGGGGCGGUCUCCUCCCAAAGAGUAACGGAGGAGCACGAAGGUUAGCUAAUCACGGUCGGACAUCGUGAGGUUAGUGCAAAGGCAUAAGCUAGCUUGACUGCGAGAGUGACGGCUCGAGCAGGUACGAAAGUAGGUCUUAGUGAUCCGGUGGUUCUGAAUGGAAGGGCCAUCGCUCAACGGAUAAAAGGUACUCCGGGGAUAACAGGCUGAUACCGCCCAAGAGUUCAUAUCGACGGCGGUGUUUGGCACCUCGAUGUCGGCUCAUCACAUCCUGGGGCUGAAGUAGGUCCCAAGGGUAUGGCUGUUCGCCAUUUAAAGUGGUACGCGAGCUGGGUUUAGAACGUCGUGAGACAGUUCGGUCCCUAUCUGCCGUGGGCGUUGGAAGAUUGAGAGGGGCUGCUCCUAGUACGAGAGGACCGGAGUGGACGAAUCACUGGUGUUCGGGUUGUCAUGCCAAUGGCAUUGCCCGGUAGCUAAAUUCGGAAGAGAUAACCGCUGAAAGCAUCUAAGCGGGAAACUUGCCUCGAGAUGAGUCUUCCCUGGGGCUUAAAGCCCCCUGAAGGAACGUUAAAGACUAUGACGUUGAUAGGCUGGGUGUGUAAGUGCAGCGAUGUAUUGAGCUAACCAGUACUAAUGAUCCGUGAGGCUUAACCUU
rnacentral:rRNA from 1 species